rnacentral:lncRNA from 1 species
GAAUUUUUUUCUGAGAAGUGAUGGUGUAGGAAAAGGCACUGAAAAACUUAGCAGUCCUAGCAGGAGGACUGGAGAGGUUCUCUCUCUCUUUUUCUUUUAGUGGCUUUUCACUGUGUUGUACGUGGUGGAGAAUAAACUUUAGGGGAUGCGAUUAACAACAUGCCCAAAUGCUGAGGCAGUCAGCAUGUUUGAAUAAAUGGUUUGAACAUGGUUCUCUAGGCUGAAUUUCUGGCAGUGUAGAGGCUUGGAAGCAUCACGCAGGGGCAAGACUUCAGAGGGGAACCAGGCAAAAGAGAACUGAGUGGCCUGACCUGGCAGCCAUCUGAGAGGGUUUGAACCAACAGUAACUUCUAGACUGUAUGAUAUAUGAAAAGCAGCACACUGUUGUGGUUAGGAGUGCAGUCUCUAGAGCCAGCCUGCGUGGGUUUGAAUUCUUGCUUUUGCUUUUCUGUUUGUACAAUCUUAGGGCACAGGAAAGUCUGCAAUCUACAACCUGGAAAAAGGUUUUCACCAGACCCAACCAUGCUGGCACUUGGAUCUCAGACUUCCAGACUCCAGGACUGUGAGAAAUAAAUUCCUGUUGUUUAAAAGCCACCCAGCUCAUGGUAUUGUGUUAUAGCAGCCUGAGCUAAGACAGAAUCAACCAUUUAUUCUCUAAAAUUUCAAUUUUAGAUGGCUGAUGUUGGAAGGGAAUAAAACUGAUGGGAAAGACAGGGACAUCAGCAUCAUCUGACAAAAUGAAGAAUGAAGAGAUACUGCUAUGAUUUGAAUGUGUCCUCCGAAAUUCAUGUGUUGGAAAGUUAAUCUCCAGUCCAACUGUGUUGGGAGGUAGAGCCUUCUGAAGGGUUUAUAUUAUGAGGGUGCAGUCCUUAUGAAUUGAUUCAUGCCACCAUUAAAAGGGCUUUCAGGAGUGGGUUGGCUCCUUCUGCUUUUCUGCCAUGUGAGGACUCAGCACUCCUCCUCUCCAGAGGUGUGGCGACAAGGUGCCAUCUUUGAACCAGAGUCCAAACCUGCUAGCGUCUUGAUAUUGAACUUCCCAGCUUCCAGAACCAUGAGAAAUAAAUUUCUGUUCCUUAUACAUUACCCAGUCUGUGGUAUUUUGUUAUAGUAGCACAAAAUGUAUUAAGAUGGAGACUGUCUCUAGUUGCUGGCAUUCAUCAAAGGUGUUAGUUGCAAGCAAUGGACGGUGACUUUGACUUACUAAGUAGAAAGACUACCAGAAUUAGACUGGAAAGCUAACAAUGAGAGUUUAGCUCUAGCAGAGCUAUGAAAAAACAAGUUCAAGGCUGAUUCUAAGAAAAUACCCAAAAGCAUGUUGCAGAACAGGUCUGAUGAUAAAAAGCCUUGGUGUUUUCCACUGACCACUAGAAGAAAUGACCUCUGCUGCCCAAGCAGUUACACUUUUGUGCCAAGAACUUGAUCUUACAACACUGGGAAACCACUACUCCUAUUGUUGCUACCACCAAAAGUCUCACACCCACUGCCAUCCACACACCUGUACAAAUGGAAUUUCCAGAAGAGCCUGUUUCUUUUCCCUCAUGUUCAUGUAUGAAUGAAACUUUGCAUAGAUUGCCAGAAACGAGGUCACAUGCUUCCGUUAUAGAUGAAAUGGAAAUGGGACUUGGAGUUUGACUCAAAUUGGAGAGGAAGGAGUCACAUUAGUUUUUCCCCAAAUAUGAUACUCAAUAAGUUACUUGGAGGCAAUGACAGAUGUCUACUACAUUGCAACAAUUCAUAAAAGUAUAUUAUUUAAAGUUACAAGAAUCAUUUAAAGAGAGACUAAAAUUAUUGCAAUAUCAUUUACUCCUUCCUCCUUCUGACAGCUUGAAUCCAAUUUAUCAGGAAAUUCUGUUGGCUUUAUUUUCAAAAUAUAUUCAGCAAAUGACUCCUCAAUGCUUCUACUGCUUUCACCUUCAACCAGCUACUGUAGUCUCUGCCCUAAAUUAUUGCAAUAACUUCCUAGCUGGUCUCUCUGCUUCAUGUUUUGUCCAUUUACAGAAUAUUCAAACUCAGCAGCCAGAGAGAUCUUUCAAGAUGUAAGAAAGAUCGUGUCAUGUCUACCCUCAAAACCAUGCAAAGAUUUCACAGGCAACUUAGAGUAGAAACCUAAAGCUUUCCAAGAGCUUGCCGUGACUUCAUGGUCUGCUGCUGUCUCCUCAUCUCACCACUGUAACCUCAUCUGCUCCUUCAUUGGCUGUUCUCACCACUGUGGCCUCUUAUUGGUCAUCAGAUAAGAGUGGCAAACUUUGUCCUUUAUGUUGGUUGGUUCCUCUGGGGAAGAGCACUCUUCUCCCAUAUAGUUGCAUGGCUACUCGCUCAUACCUGCAAGAACUCUAUUUAACACCAUUCACAUGGCCUUUAGUAUUCCCAAUCUCACAUGCUGUGCUUUAUCUUUUUUCUAUAGCAUGUAUCACCCCUCUAACAUACUAUAAUUUACUUAAUUAUGAUGUUUAUUUUCUGUCUCAAGAAUGGGAAUGAUUUUGUCUUUUUUAUUAGCUGGCAUAUCCAGG